rnacentral:rRNA from 1 species
UACGUAGGGCGCAAGCGUUGUCCGGAAUUAUUGGGCGUAAAGAGCUCGUAGGCGGUUUGUCGCGUCUGCUGUGAAAACCUGAGGCUCAACCUCGGGCUUGCAGUGGGUACGGGCAGACUAGAGUGCGGUAGGGGUGACUGGAAUUCCUGGUGUAGCGGUGGAAUGCGCAGAUAUCAGGAGGAACACCGAUGGCGAAGGCAGGUCACUGGGCCGCAACUGACGCUGAGGCGCGAAAGCGUGGGGAGCAAACAGG